rnacentral:rRNA from 1 species
UGGAUGAGAUAAGUGCUGAAAGCAUCUAAGCACGAAACUCAGCUUAAGAUGAGGUUUCCUUUAAGGGUCGUCAUAGACGAUGACGUUGAUAGGCUACAGGUAUAAAGGCAGUAAUGUCAAAGCCGAGUAGUACUAAUUACCCGAAUGCUUUCUACCA